GUGCCAGCCGCCGCGGUAAUACGGAGGGUGCGAGCGUUAAUCGGAAUUACUGGGCGUAAAGCGCGCGUAGGCGGUUCGCUAAGUCCUUUGUGAAAGCCCUGGGCUUAACCUGGGAACGGCAGGGGAUACUGGCGGGCUAGAGUGUGGUAGAGGGUAGCGGAAUUUCCGGUGUAGCAGUGAAAUGCGUAGAGAUCGGAAGGAACACCAGUGGCGAAGGCGGCUAUCUGGACCAACACUGACGCUGAGGUGCGAAAGCGUGGGGAGCAAACAGGAUUAGAAACCCGUGUAGUCC
rnacentral:rRNA from 1 species